GACGAACGCUGGCGGCGUGCCUAAUACAUGCAAGUAGGACGCACAGUUUAUACCGUAGCUUGCUACACCAUAGACUGUGAGUUGCGAACGGGUGAGUAACGCGUAGGUAACCUGCCUAUUAGAGGGGGAUAACUAUUGGAAACGAUAGCUAAUACCGCAUAACAGUAUGUAACACAUGUUAGAUGCUUGAAAGAUGCAAUUGCAUCGCUAGUAGAUGGACCUGCGUUGUAUUAGCUAGUAGGUAGGGUAAUGGCCUACCUAGGCGACGAUACAUAGCCGACCUGAGAGGGUGAUCGGCCACACUGGGACUGAGACACGGCCCAGACUCCUACGGGAGGCAGCAGUAGGGAAUCUUCGGCAAUGGGGGGAACCCUGACCGAGCAACGCCGCGUGAGUGAAGAAGGUUUUCGGAUCGUAAAAGCUCUGUUGUUAAAGGAAAGGAA
rnacentral:rRNA from 1 species